GUGCACAGGUCUCUAACAGGCAGAGUUAUUUGACUCCUUCCAACUUUCAAAUGGGUGUCACUGACCAGAUGAAAGUCAUGAUUUAAAUAGACCCAUGUGUACAGGCUGCUGACAACAAGCAGUGUCUGAUCCUUCCAAGCAAGUGAAAGGAAGGAAGUACUGGAUAUUAGUCGGGUUUCAGUUUCAGGACAGCGCGUGUGUGAACUUACAGGGUGACAGAUUUCCUCUUAUGGCUAUAGAAAUGGCUGAAGGUAAUCCACGAGCACACCCUGUAAUGUUCACAUUUGCACCCGAAGGAAAGCUGCUCCUCACACCGGACUGAAAAUUCAGCACAAGGAGCAGAGGUUUGGGCGACCCUUGUUCUUACUGUCUACCAUACAGCAGGGCUUUGUAAACUCCUCCUUUAGUGUGUGCACACAUAUUUGUGUAUUGAUAAUCAGUACAAAUAGUGUUUUGCAGAGUUCAUGCCUAUACUAAAUGGCAGAAUUACUUAUAAGUAAUAAAGACCAUCUGGUCACUCACUGCAUCCUAGUAUCUCAUCUCCAGCCUCAUGAUGUCCACCCGACACCCGACUCUGUCAUCAUCUUCACUGUGAGAAGUGCAACCCACUGAGGAGCAAUAAAAGUCAUAUGAAAAUG